UACGUAGGGUGCGAGCGUUGUCCGGAAUUAUUGGGCGUAAAGAGCUUGUAGGCGGUUUGUCGCGUCUGCUGUGAAAUCUCAAGGCUCAACCUUGAGCUUGCAGUGGGUACGGGCAGACUAGAGUGUGGUAGGGGAGACUGGAAUUCCUGGUGUAGCGGUGAAAUGCGCAGAUAUCAGGAGGAACACCGGUGGCGAAGGCGGGUCUCUGGGCCGUUACUGACGCUGGAGGAGCGAAAGCGUGGGGAGCGAACAGG
rnacentral:rRNA from 1 species